AUUAGACCUCUCCCGACGAAA
rnacentral:miRNA from 1 species